UACGUAGGUGGCAAGCGUUGUCCGGAUUUAUUGGGUUUAAAGGGUGUGUAGGCGGUUUUUUAAGUCAGUGCUGAAAUACUCCAGCUUAACUGGAGGGGUGGCAUUGAUACUGGAAGACUUGAGUGCAGUCGAGGUAGGCGGAAUUGACGGUGUAGCGGUGAAAUGCUUAGAUAUCGUCAAGAACACCGAUAGUGAAGACAGCUUACUAGGCUGCAACUGACGCUGAGGCACGAAAGUGUGGGGAUCAAACAGG
rnacentral:rRNA from 1 species